AGGAAUAUUGGUCAAUGGGCGAGAGCCUGAACCAGCCAUCCCGCGUGCAGGAUGACGGCCCUACGGGUUGUAAACUGCUUUUCUGCAAGAAGAAUGGUCAUUACGCGUAGUGAUUUGACGGUAUUGCAGGAAUAAGCAUCGGCUAACUCCGUGCCAGCAGCCGCGGUAAUACGGAGGAUGCAAGCGUUAUCCGGAUUCAUUGGGUUUAAAGGGUGCGUAGGCGGCUAUAUAAGUCAGUGGUGAAAUGCUGCAGCUCAACUGUAGAACUGCCAUUGAAACUGUAUAGCUUGAGUGCGCCUGAGGUAGGCGGAAUGAGUAGUGUAGCGGUGAAAUGCUUAGAUAUUACUCAGAACACCGAUUGCGAAGGCAGCUUACUAAAUCGUAACUGACGCUGAUGCACGAAAGCGUGGGGAGCGAACAGGAUUAGAUACCCUGGUAGUCCACGCCGUAAACGAUGAUAACUCGCUGUUGGCGAUACACAGUCAGCGGCUGAGCGAAAGCAUUAAGUUAUCCACCUGGGGAGUACGAUCGCAAGGUUGAAACUCAAAGGA
rnacentral:rRNA from 1 species